GCUUUAGCCAUGAAUGCUUAGUAGGGAUCUCAUACAUGAUUCAUAACCAAAUUUCAAUUGAAAUAUCUUAACCGUUGAUCUAUUCACAUAAUUUAAAUAAAUAAAAAGAGAAAACACCCUAUGUCGCGACACUCAAAUUUCUGCAUAACAUAAUUAGUCGACACAAAUCAACCGUUCAUUAAGCAUGUACAGCACAAGUCAGACGACCACUUCAAACUGAAAACUGAAAGGGGGUCCGCCUCCAAAGCUGCUGUGAUACUCAACUAGUGCAUUGAGCAUUUGAUGCAUUUUCCAUCUAGCAUCUUCCGAGAGACUGCUUUCGUUGGGAUACAACCAUCAAAGAGGAAUGCUUAGUUCCAGCUAUUAUGGUACCAUUGAUCGGAUGUGUAGCGCAAGCAGUAACAGCUUCAGACAAUGGAACAAACUUAUUUUGUUUGUCUUGAUUGCCCACACUAGAAUGCCUCUCCACAUCCUCACUGUAAUCCACAUGGCAGGGAGAGCUAGGAUCAGGGUAGAAAUCUAAAAGAUGAAUGCCAUUGGCAGAUGAUGAUCCGACCACAUACACCUGCAUUUGAAAAUAUGCCAAUCAACUUGAAUUUCACAGACUCAACCAAAUGCCAAGCUCAAGCCUUAAAUUAGCUUGAAUACCAGAUUUGAGAGGGUGAAUAAAUUAGGUGUAUGAGAGGAUGGGUAAAGGUUACUGUCUAAAACCAAUGUUGAGAUAUCUUACUGAAUAUGUUGGUAGCCAUGAUGGUUUUCUCAAGUAAAGCAGAUCAGCUGAAAUGUUGGAAUUAUUCCUAAUAAAUCAAAACCAAGUACAUUUACAAUUAGGGAAUGCUCCCAAUUACAAUGUUAUACAACCUUGGAUGUGUCAAAUUUACUUACAACCAAGCCGGAGGAGGGCAAUGAAUAUGUGUGACUUGAAAAUUAUAAAUAUCAAGAACACCUGACCUGUAUUACAUGUUUGGAUUAGAAAAAUCCAUCCAUAUUGCUUACGCCUAUCAUUCAUUGAACAAAAGCAUUAAAUACUUUGAUGUGUCAAGUGUCAAUAGUAUUGAAAUUCGCUUCCAAAAUUUCUCCAAUAUAGGCUUAGCAAAACCCAUCUUUAGGAAUCUGUUUAGUCAAUGCUUAUUCUAUUGAUAUAAUGGCACAUUCAUGUUUGACAUUUUGAAAAAUAAAUAUGUUCAAGACUUAUCAACCAAUAUUUAAGCUCAUAGAAUUAGUGUACAGUCUGCUUUUUCUCCCAAGAUAUUGCUGCCACCAAUCAAUUUUCUUUACACUCCAUUUUCAUUCAAAUGCAAUAUAAAAGAAAAGAACCAAGGAAAUGUGAGAUAAAAGACGCUAUAAUGCCAGAAUGAUGCUGAACUUCAACAAGAAUUCAAAAGUAAAUGUUUUGCUUUCCUGACCUACCAACCAUCAUCGAGGUGAAAUGCCAACUGAUAUGGACAAGAUGGAUCAAAAUUAAUGGAGUGCACUUCCUUGGGGACAAUAGCUGAUUGUGCCCUUAAGGUCCCAAUUUUCUCUAACAUUGAUGCUAGCUUCCAAUGUGUUACCGGUGGAUGGCAAACCUGUUUGUCCAAAACUCAGAAAAUGGAUAAAUGAAAUGGUGCAGUUAUGCUAUCAACAACCUCAAAUAAAUCCAUACAUAUCAUAUAUUCCACUGAAUAGUUGUGAUAAAUUGGCGUUGGAGCUUGAAACUUAGGGCAUAAACUUGCUUUGUGGCCAAGACAGUGUAAAACUAUGAUAAGAUUGUCAUUAGUAAUCGCUAUUGUUGUUUGACAGCUAGAACCACAGCCCACAUGCCAAUACCAGUUCUUGUACCAUAUGAUAAAUAACGAGACCUUGACUACUUACCUCUUUAUGACUUUGAAAGGCAGCAGAUGCCCUUCCACUGCGGAGAUCCCACAUAUAAAUUAUUCCAUGCCUGCCGGCCCCAAAAACCAUCUGAUUUUCCACAUUUAAUUGGAUACUGUUGAUGGUGCUACGGCAAUUAGUUGUAAGCUCAAUGCUAGGAAGAACACCUGCUCUUCUAUCCCAUAGAUUAACAGCACCAUUUGUAUCAGAAGCGAUUAACCUUGAGGUAUCAAGCAUAGUAAAAGCUAUAUCAGUUAGACCUUUAUGAACUUCAGAUCCAUGAACAGUGACAGUACGCCUGGUUCUUAAAACUUGAACUGGUUCUGAUGAGAUAUAACCAAUGUCAAAAAUGAGUACUUCAUUUCUUUUCAUAGAUGUGCAGGCAACCUCAUCUUGGUUAGAAAGAUUCCAACGAACAACAUCAAGUUGUCGAUGCAAAGAAAGGUGCAAUACAUGUUUGCCUUCAUCUUCUUUUGAGCAUGGCAAUAAGCCAUCAGCAUGGCAAUAAAGAGUUUCAAAGUCAUGUACUGUUAAGCACCCCGCUUUUGUCACAGAUACUAAGUAAACUCCCUUGGCGUCAAAUUCCAGGGCAGAAACGCCUUGCCUUGUAAUUGGAACUGGGGGAUCCAUACUUGCGACACUAUCAAUCCGAUUCAGAUGAGUUUGACAUGGAACUCCAUCCACAUGGUAAAAAUGCGGAAAUGCUCCUAUCUCAGAGUAGGAUUGCAUGAGCAAAGAAGAAAGAUGGUGGCGGUACUUGGGCUCAAACCUCCCGUUCAAUUCAAUUAGGCUUCUCUUCCAUCCAUGGUUCGGAAGGGGUUUAUGGGUUUGUGGUGAGGGUUUCAAGUAUUUCUCCAUACAGCAACACCACAACAAAAUUGUCGAACUCCAGCGCAACGCAAUCACCACGGCUUUGCAGCGUUGUAGAAAAUUUUGGGGAAUUAAAGGGCCAAAAACUGUCUACUAUUGUCUUUUCGGUUUUUUCCAUCAACGUUUCCCGCCAUUGGCUCUGG
rnacentral:misc_RNA from 1 species